rnacentral:rRNA from 1 species
UACGUAGGUGGCAAGCGUUGUCCGGAAUUACUGGGUGUAAAGGGCGUGUAGGCGGGUAUGCAAGUCAGAUGUGAAAGUCCUGUGCUCAACCGUGGAGCGGCAUCUGAAACUGUAUAUCUUGAGUGCUGGAGAGGAAAGCGGAAUUCCUAGUGUAGCGGUGAAAUGCGUAGAUAUUAGGAGGAACACCAGUGGCGAAGGCGGCUUUCUGGACAGUAACUGACGCUGAGGCGCGAAAGCGUGGGGAGAAAACAGG